CUGUGUUGCCUAACAAUUAGUCUCCUAACAUUGUGUAGUUAAAAUAACAGCCUACCUUUUUUCUUAAUUUUGCACACUCACUGUACUUUCUUUCUCUUCAGCGGAGAUAACAAGAAUGAUUCUGCACUUUCAGAAGUCCUCUGAGGCGAGAGGUACAGGGACAGUGGAAGGGGUUGAGCGAAGCCCCCAUUGCCGGUCCAGCCACAUUCCUCAGGGGCGAGCUGUUCAAUAUCAUUUCUGCUCCCUUUGACAGAAGCUCUGGCAACCACAAAGGAGUCACUGUGCCGAUCUAUCCACACCCCAGCUCUCCCAACCUUCCUUUCUGAAAUGCUUAAUUACCCCGACGCCACUUCCAAUCUGCAGCCCACCUGUAGCAUUCUGCCAAAGGGCCUUUAAACAGGUUCACAGCCCUCUUAACAGCCAUCUUGUUUUGGAAGGAAGAAGAAAUGGAAGAGAUGCUUUGGAAGUAAAAGUUGUCAACGACAAGCCUGACAUCACACAGAUGAUACUUCAAAGGCCAGCACUUUUUACAGUAAACCAGGUACAUAUACACUGAAGAUACUACCAAGUAUCUUCACCAAGCUGUUACUCUGAGGCAGGAGUCCCAAGCACCAUGUGGCCCUCACACAUGCACUCAGAAGAGGCCUCGCUCCCCCACGGAGAGAUCCACAUCCAGGACGAGUGCUAAGGGGGGUUAAAAAGGCCUGCUGCAUCUGUCUUUUUUAAUAACACUAUGUCCAGGAAGUUCAGGCUGGAUGAGGACUAAGUGUAAUGAGAUGUCCAUCACGACAACAUGUGUGACAAGUGGAAUGGAAAUGCAAUUAGCCCUCCCCCCACCACCAGACAUGGCUAGGCCUGUUAUGUGUUAAUAAUGUGAUGUAAUGGCCAUAAGGAUAAAACAGUUCCUGUUCGUGACAUCAGGGGAUCUCAUCUUUAUCCUCCCAGAACAUCUGAAUGAACGUGUAAGUGAGCAAGUGCUUUAGGGGAAUGAGUGAGUCAGUGAGAAAGCAGUGAACGUGAGUCCGUUGCUCUUUUCCAAAUCGUAGUUGGCUGCCUGCAGAGGCUGCAUUUGAUGGAGUGUUGUUCCUUAAAUGAAGGCUUUUUCAAAAUCUACACGUAUUUAUUACACUGACUUAUGAGAUACCAGAUUUUAGCCAGAUUCUAAGGCGUUAGUGCAUAUUUCUUUGUAGGCAAGGCAAUCCCAAAAUGUAUUGGCAUGAGCUCCUUUGUGGGGAAAAAAUGCACUUAUUGGUAUUGAAGUGUACUUCAAAUGUUAAAAGUAUAUAUGUGUGUAUAUGUAUGUAUAUGUAUGUGUGUGUGUGUGU
ensembl:lncRNA